rnacentral:rRNA from 1 species
AUAAUGGGUCAGCGACUUAUAUUCUGUAGCAAGGUUAACCGAAUAGGGGAGCCGAAGGGAAACCGAGUCUUAACUGGGCGUUAAGUUGCAGGGUAUAGACCCGAAACCCGGUGAUCUAGCCAUGGGCAGGUUGAAGGUUGGGUAACACUAACUGGAGGACCGAACCGACUAAUGUUGAAAAAUUAGCGGAUGACUUGUGGCUGGGGGUGAAAGGCCAAUCAAACCGGGAGAUAGCUGGUUCUCCCCGAAAGCUAUUUAGGUAGCGCCUCGUGAAUUCAUCUCCGGGGGUAGAGCACUGUUUCGGCAAGGGGGUCAUCCCGACUUACCAACCCGAUGCAAACUGCGAAUACCGGAGAAUGUUAUCACGGGAGACACACGGCGGGUGCUAACGUCCGUCGUGAAGAGGGAAACAACCCAGACCGCCAGCUAAGGUCCCAAAGUCAUGGUUAAGUGGGAAACGAUGUGGGAAGGCCCAGACAGCCAGGAUGUUGGCUUAGAAGCAGCCAUCAUUUAAAGAAAGCGUAAUAGCUCACUGGUCGAGUCGGCCUGCGCGGAAGAUGUAACGGGGCUAAACCAUGCACCGAAGCUGCGGCAGCGACGCUGAUGCGUUGUUGGGUAGGGGAGCGUUCUGUAAGCCUGUGAAGGUGUGCUGUGAGGCAUGCUGGAGGUAUCAGAAGUGCGAAUGCUGACAUAAGUAACGAUAAAGCGGGUGAAAAGCCCGCUCGCCGGAAGACCAAGGGUUCCUGUCCAACGUUAAUCGGGGCAGGGUGAGUCGACCCCUAAGGCGAGGCCGAAAGGCGUAGUCGAUGGGAAACAGGUUAAUAUUCCUGUACUUGGUGUUACUGCGAAGGGGGGACGGAGAAGGCUAUGUUGGCCGGGCGACGGUUGUCCCGGUUUAAGCGUAUAGGCUGGUUUUCCAGGCAAAUCCGGAAAAUCAAGGCUGAGGCGUGAUGACGAGGCACUACGGUGCUGAAGCAACAAAUGCCCUGCUUCCAGGAAAAGCCUCUAAGCAUCAGGUAACAUCAAAUCGUACCCCAAACCGACACAGGUGGUCAGGUAGAGAAUACCAAGGCGCUUGAGAGAACUCGGGUGAAGGAACUAGGCAAAAUGGUGCCGUAACUUCGGGAGAAGGCACGCUGAUAUGUAGGUGAAGUCCCUCGCGGAUGGAGCUGAAAUCAGUCGAAGAUACCAGCUGGCUGCAACUGUUUAUUAAAAACACAGCACUGUGCAAACACGAAAGUGGACGUAUACGGUGUGACGCCUGCCCGGUGCCGGAAGGUUAAUUGAUGGGGUUAGCGCAAGCGAAGCUCUUGAUCGAAGCCCCGGUAAACGGCGGCCGUAACUAUAACGGUCCUAAGGUAGCGAAAUUCCUUGUCGGGUAAGUUCCGACCUGCACGAAUGGCGUAAUGAUGGCCAGGCUGUCUCCACCCGAGACUCAGUGAAAUUGAACUCGCUGUGAAGAUGCAGUGUACCCGCGGCAAGACGGAAAGACCCCGUGAACCUUUACUAUAGCUUGACACUGAACAUUGAGCCUUGAUGUGUAGGAUAGGUGGGAGGCUUUGA